AAACCAACAGGGAUUGACUUAGUAACGGCGAGUGAAGCGGCAAUAGCUCAAAUUUGAAAUCUGGCGUCUUCGGCGUCCGAGUUGUAAUUUGAAGAAGGUAUCUUUGGUUUUGGCUCUUGUCUAUGUUCCUUGGAACAGGACGUCACAGAGGGUGAGAAUCCCGUGCGAUGAGAUGCCCAAUUCCAUGUAAAGUUCCUUCGACGAGUCGAGUUGUUUGGGAAUGCAGCUCUAAGUGGGUGGUAAAUUCCAUCUAAAGCUAAAUAUUGGCGAGAGACCGAUAGCGAACAAGUACAGUGAUGGAAAGAUGAAAAGAACUUUGAAAAGAGAGUGAAAAAGUACGUGAAAUUGUUGAAAGGGAAGGGCUUGAGAUCAGACUUGGCUUUGCCGGGCCAGCAUCGGUUUGGAUGGUAGGAUAAUGACAUUGGAAUGUGGCAUGGCUCCGGUUAUGUGUUAUAGCCUUUGUUGAUACUGCCUGUCUAGACCGAGGACUGCGUCUUUGACUAGGAUGCUGGCAUAAUGAUCUUAAGCCGCC
rnacentral:rRNA from 1 species